GCCAAUGUGGUUUAGUGGUUUGGGCAUUAGACUGUUACUCUGGAGACCAGGGCUCGAAUCCUCACUCAGCCA